ensembl:snRNA U1 U1 spliceosomal RNA
AUACUUAACCUGGCAGGGGAGAUACCAUGAUCACAAAGGUGGUUUUUCCAGGGCGAGGCUCAGCCACUGCACUCUGGAUGUGCUGACCCUGCGAUUUCCCCUGUUGUGGGAAACUCGACUGCAUAAUUUAUGGCAGCAGGGGAAUGCGAUUGCACUCUUCCCUG